GGGCUGGGCUGGGCUGGGCA
rnacentral:miRNA from 1 species